CCAAGCACCAAUAAAUCGAUUCACCUAAGCCAGGUUCCAUAAGUUGACGUUGCAAUGCAUCUGUUACAGAGGAACGGUAUGGAUGGAGACACGCAAUGUUGAUGGCGACGUUGCAAUGCGUCUGUUAUAGAGGAACAGUAUAGAUGGAGACACGAUGCGAAUGGAGCAAAAAUCGUUUAGUGUUCUUCAUACGUGGAUGGCCCAGAUUUAAGGAAACAGAACAACCAUCAGGAUUGAAUUUGAUAAGUUAUAUAACUAGGGACGAGGGAGAUCGAGCUACAGGGAGAGGGAAGGGAGUAGAGAGCUAAGCGGAUUUCAGUGAAGAGGGAGGAGUGAAUCGCGGUCUUCACGGUCGAACCAAGAGCGAAUAGCGAGGAAUUUUUUUUGCUGGAAUGCGUACAUUGUACUCGAGAACAAACAGAAUUAUGAGAUGUUGUGAAUAUGUGUGUGCGGUGCAGCCAGGUGUUAUGGCUUCAAUGAAGGGUUAUGUGUAUGUAUAUAUAAUUCGAAAAUGCAUUGAAAUGGUACUAUUGUGGAAUGAGUACAGUCUGAAGGGGGAAAUCAUUGAAGGGAGUAAAGGAAAUAAAAGAAAAGGGAGUGCAGCUUCCUGUGAUGGAUUAAUGCAGGAAGAGGGAGAAACUGAAAAGAAAGAAACAGAGGGAGAGUGGACCUGCUGAGUCUGCUACAGUAAAAUGAGUGCAGGAGGAUAGAGAGGCUAAGAAGAAAUAAGGAUAGGAUGACCUGAUCAGUGUAGGAAGAAAGAGAGAUUUAAAAGAGGGAAACAGAGAGAGUGGACCUGACAGGAUUACAUGAGCAGGGUGGGGGGGACAGGUUAGCAUGGUGAGAGGGAGGAUACAAACCUAACUGAAUGGAGAAUUGUUGUUAUGAUGUUCCAAUGAGGGAAGGAUACUUAAAAGAGGAAGAAUUUUAUGAAAUGGAAA